rnacentral:rRNA from 1 species
GGGUUGUGAGGUUAAGCGACUAAGCGUACACGGUGGAUGCCCUGGCAGUCAGAGGCGAUGAAGGACGUGCUAAUCUGCGAUAAGCGUCGGUAAGGUGAUAUGAACCGUUAUAACCGGCGAUUUCCGAAUGGGGAAACCCAGUGUGAUUCGUCACACUAUCAUUAACUGAAUCCAUAGGUUAAUGAGGCGAACCGGGGGAACUGAAACAUCUAAGUACCCCGAGGAAAAGAAAUCAACCGAGAUUCCCCCAGUAGCGGCGAGCGAACGGGGAGCAGCCCAGAGCCUGAAUCAGUGUGUGUGUUAGUGGAAGCGUCUGGAAAGGCGUGCGAUACAGGGUGACAGCCCCGUACACAAAAAUGCACAUAUUGUGAGCUCGAUGAGUAGGGCGGGACACGUGGUAUCCUGUCUGAAUAUGGGGGGACCAUCCUCCAAGGCUAAAUACUCCUGACUGACCGAUAGUGAACCAGUACCGUGAGGGAAAGGCGAAAAGAACCCCGGCGAGGGGAGUGAAAAAGAACCUGAAACCGUGUACGUACAAGCAGUGGGAGCACGCUUAGGCGUG